AUGGCCAAUGCUACAGCCUCAAGUUUGAUGCCAGAUGGCCGAAGAUCUGUAUGGAAACUCAUCUGGUCUGUUGAUGUACCCCCUACUGUCUGUAACUUCGCUUGGCGGGUAGUCACAGAUUCACUACCCACCUGGAGGAAUAAGCACAAGAGAACUAUUGAGACAACAAGUCUUUGCCCAGUCUGCGGUAUGGAAUCAGAGGAUAACUUCCAUCCACUGUGCCGGUGCCCUAGAGCACGCGAGCUAUGGAUGCAUAUGGCAGAGGUUUGGAGAUUACCAGAUGUUGAUCAGGUCAGAAAUAGUGCGAAGGAAUGGCUAUUCCAAGUGUUGGAGCCGUUAAUGGAUAUUGAAAGGAGCAUGUUACUUAUGACACUGUGGCGCUGUUGGUACGUCCGUAAUGAGAUAGUGCAUCAGAAGAACCCACCUCCUCUUGAGGUGUCGAGGAAGUUUCUCAUCAGCUACCUCGAGUCCCUGAUUGGCAUUAAGAUGAACUCGAACAUGGACCCGCUGAAAGGAAAACAGUUGUUUCCUAUGACCAGAAGUGAUCUUCCGGUUAUGGUGGAGAUGGAUUCACUACUAACAGUGAAGAUGAUCCAAGGAAGAGAUCAAGAUAGAUCCAUUUAUGCGUCUUUAGUUAAAGAGAUUAGAUAUCUCAGUUCCCUUCGUGAGGUCCAACCCUCAAACCCUCUCCCAAUCCUCAAAAGUAAGGGUUGGGGAGCAAAACCUACCCCAACCCUCAUUUGGCGGUUAUCCUCGCGCGGGAGAAAAAAAUCCUCCCAACUCCCGCGCCCACGCCCGCGACUGCCGCUGCUAGUCGCCCUCGUCGCCGGCGGCCGCCCCGUCGAUCUCCCGCGCGCAACGACAACGUCGUUCAUGGGAAAUAUUCCGUUAUAA
rnacentral:rRNA from 1 species